rnacentral:rRNA from 1 species
GGACUACAGGGGUUUCUAAUCCCGUUUGCUCCCCUGGCUUUCGCGCCUCAGCGUCAGAAAGGGUCCAGCACGUCGCUUUCGCCACCGGCGUUCCUUCCGAUAUCUACGCAUUUCACCGCUCCACCGGAAGUUCCACAUGCCCCUACCCCCCUCAAGACGGCCAGUAUCAGGAGCUGUUUUCCAGUUGGGCUGAAAGAUUUCACCCCUGACUUGGCCGCCCGCCUACGCGCCCUUUAAGCCCAGUGAUUCCGAACAACGUUCGCACGGUUCGUCUUACCGCGGCUGCUGGCAC